rnacentral:lncRNA from 1 species
UUUUACUGGUCUGUGACGCGUCUUUUACUUGUCUGUGACGAGUCUUUUAUCAGUCUAUGACGAGUUUCCUGCUGGAGUCUUCGACGAUUUUUUUAUCAGUCUUUUAAAUUACGAGUCUCUUACAAGUCUAGGACUUUCUUAAAGAUGACAUGUACAGCUAGAACACAACGAAAGUUUUACGAUUCGCGGGCUUGUGGGAUAAUUUCUGUUUUGGGUAUUCUCUGUCAUUUAAUUGGAAUAACUAUGCCGUACUGGUAUUAUGAGCGUCACGUGACAAAAUAUGGAUUGGAAACUUAUUAUUAUGGACUUUGGAAAGGAUGUUCUGUUAUUCCUGGAUUACAAGACAAGUGUUUCAACCACGAUGCAGCAC